AAGCAGGAACCAUGCGGGUUGCCGCCGGUUAACCCCGCCAGGUCUGGAAGGAAGCAACGGUACCCGGAGGGCGCCGCGCCGUGGCAGCCCUGCUUCGG
rnacentral:SRP_RNA from 1 species